GCCAGUAGUCAAAGCGUCGUUUUCUCGCUCACGUGGGUCGGCAUUGCAGAACAAAGAGCGGCAUCAU
rnacentral:snoRNA from 1 species